UACGAAGGGGGCUAGCGUUGCUCGGAAUCACUGGGCGUAAAGCGCACGUAGGCGGCUUUUUAAGUCAGAGGUGAAAUCCUGGAGCUCAACUCCAGAACUGCCUUUGAUACUGGAGAGCUUGAGUCCGGGAGAGGUGAGUGGAACUGCGAGUGUAGAGGUGAAAUUCGUAGAUAUUCGCAAGAACACCAGUGGCGAAGGCGGCUCACUGGACUGGUAUUGACGCUGAGGUGCGAAAGCGUGGGGAGCAAACAGG
rnacentral:rRNA from 1 species